UACGAAGGGGGCUAGCGUUGCUCGGAAUCACUGGGCGUAAAGGGUGCGUAGGUGGGUCUGUAAGUCAGUGGUGAAAUCUCCGAGCUUAACUCGGAAACUGCCAUUGAUACUAUAGGUCUUGAAUUAUCUGGAGGUGAGCGGAAUAUGUCAUGUAGCGGUGAAAUGCUUAGAUAUGACAUAGAACACCAAUUGCGAAGGCAGCUCACUACGGAUAUAUUGACACUGAGGCACGAAAGCGUGGGGAUCAAACAGG
rnacentral:rRNA from 1 species